UACAGAGGGGGCAAGCGUUAUUCGGAAUUAUUGGGCGUAAAGGGCGCGUAGGCGGCAUGGCAAGUGGAUGGUGAAAUCCCUCGGCUUAACCGAGGAACUGCCGUCCAAACUGCUUCGCUUGAGACCGGGAGAGGUGAGUGGAAUUCCCAGUGUAGCGGUGAAAUGCGUAGAUAUCGGAAGGAACAUCAGUGGCGAAAGCGACUUCCUGGACCAGUACCGACGUUCAGGCACGAAAGCGUGGGGAGCAAACAGG
rnacentral:rRNA from 1 species